rnacentral:rRNA from 1 species
CGGCGGACGGGUGAGUAACACGUGGAUAACCUACCUAUAAGACUGGGAUAACUUCGGGAAACCGGAGCUAAUACUGGAUAAUAUAUUGAACCGCAUGGUUCAAUAGUGAAAGACGGUUUUGCUGUCACUUAUAGAUGGAUCCGCGCCGUAUUAGCUAGUUGGUAAGGUAACGGCUUACCAAGGCAACGAUACGUAGCCGACCUGAGAGGGUGAUCGGCCACACUGGAACUGAGACACGGUCCAG